AUGCGGUUGAGAGGUUGCCCAAGCCACAAUAAGUUUGCAAGACUGCUCUCAGCCAACAUUGAAAUGCGUAUCGCAAGCAGUCUAGGAUCGCUAUUCAAGGAAAAUGGAGGGCAGUUCCAAACAGGCUCUAGCACUUGCAUGCUCCAGAAGAGGCUUGCUUCCCACGUUCUGCCCUGUGUGAAGAAGAGAUGGCGAACUCCUACUGAGAAUGAUGGAUGGACGAUGGGUGCAUUCUGUUACAAGACUCUUAACUCUUUGAUGUCAAAUGCUACUUGCAUGCUCCAGAAGAGGCUUGCUUCCCACGUUCUGCCCUGUGUGAAGAAGAGAUGGCGAACUCCUACUGAGAAUGAUGGAUACAUUCUGUCGCAGAACUCCAAUCCAUUGAUGACCAAAGUUAUACUUGGAUACUGGACAAGAUGA
rnacentral:lncRNA from 1 species